rnacentral:rRNA from 1 species
AGUCAUAUGCUCGUCUCAAAGAUUAAGCCAUGCAAGUCUUUGUUCAGGCCUCUUUAGAGGUGAAACCGCGAAUGGCUCAUUACAUCAGUUGUGGUUCCUUAGACAGCGCACCCCCAAAUCUUACUUGGAUAACUGUGGGAAUUCUAGAGCUAAUACAUGCACUCAGGCUUUGACUCCCGGCAACGGGUUGGAAAAGCGCUUUUAUUAGAUCGAAACCAACCCGGAUGUAUGCUUGUCAUACGUUCCGGUCCCCAGAUUCUAUCUGGGGGCUUGGUGACUCUGAAUAACCAUGUCGAUCGUAGGGACUCGUUCCCUUGACGUAUCUUUCAAGUGUCUGCCUCAUCAACUGUCGACGGUAGGUUAAGCGCCUACCGUGGUCACGACGGGUAACGGGGAAUCAGGGUUCGAUUCCGGAGAGGGCGCCUGAGAAACGGCGGCCACAUCCAAGGAAGGCAGCAGGCGCGCAAAUUACCCACUCCCAGCCCGGGGAGGUAGUGACAAGAAAUACCGGGAAGGGACAUUAUUGUCCCCGCUCCCGGAAUGAGACGAUUUUAAACCUCUUUACGAGGACCUAUUGGAGGACAAGUCUGGUGCCAGCACCCGCGGUAACUCCAGCUCCAAUAGCGUAUAUUAACAUUGCUGCGGUUAAAAAGCUCGUAGUUGGAUUUGAGCUCCGGCCGGUGUCAGUGGGGUCGUGGUACGGUCUCCGUCUGUACCGUUGCCGGGCUUCUCGCAGCCAGGUGGCCGGCCAGAUCGGCUGUCUACUUGCACACAGGGAAACCUGUUGUGUGGUGGGAGUCUGGUUUGGUGGCAAGGUGCCUGGCCACGUUUACUUUGAGAAAAGGAGAGUGCUCAAAGCAGGUCGGAGUGCCUGUAGAUCUCGUUGCAUGGAAUAAUGGAACAGGACCUCGCGUCUGUGUUUGUUGGUUUCGGGGCGCCCCGAGGUAAUGAUUAAGAGGGACGGUUCGGGGACAUUCGUACUGCGGCGUGAGAGGUGAAAUUCUUGGAUCGCUGCAAGACGAACAACUGCGAAGGCAUUUGUCAAGGACGUCCUCAUUAAUCAAGAACGAAAGUUAGAGGUUCGAAGGCGAUCAGAUACCGCCCUAGUUCUGACCGUAAACGAUGCCAACUGGCGAUCGGCCCCUGGUCGCGAGUAAGACGGGGUCGGCAGCCUCCGGGAAACCGAAGUCUUUGGGUUCCGGGGGGAGUAUGGUUGCAAAGCUGAAACUUAAAGGAAUAGACGGAAGGGCACCACAAGCGGUGGAACCUGCGGCUUAAUUCGACUCAACGCGGCGAAUCUCACCAGGCCCGGACACUGGUAGGAUUGACAGAUCUUUCCCCAUGAAGCUCUUUCUCGAUUCAGUGGGUGGUGGUGCAUGGCCGAUCGUGGUUGGUGGGGCGACCUGUCUGGUUUAUUCCGAUAACGAACGAGACUGCAGCCUACUAACUAGGAGGCGACUCCGUGCUUGUUGCGGCGUCUGCCUGCGCUUCUUAGAGGGACUGUCGGCUCUUUUCAAGCCGAACGAAGUUGCAGCAAUGUCAGGUCCGUGAUGCCCUUCGAUGCCCUGGGCUGCACGCGCGUUACACUGAAGGAGACAACGCGCUCCCUCCCUUGUGGAGGGCAAGCCCGUUCGUCGGUGCGUUCCCGGUCUGAAAGGAUCGGGCAACCGCUCAAUCUCCUCUGGCCCUUGUUGGCCCUUCGUGGUAGGAAUUGGGGUUUGAAAUUGUACCCCAUGAACCAGGAAUCCCCAGUAAGCGCGAGUCAGCACCUCGCGUUGAUUACGUCCCUGCCCUUUGUACUCACCGCCCGUCGCUAUAACCGAUCGAGUGAUGUAGUGAGGCUUUUGGACUGUUCAGGAACAGGGUUGCAGUGUUCGCUUGCGGGCAUCUGUGGCUUAAAGUUCCCCGGGAAGAUGGCCGAACUGUAUCGCUCAGAGGAUAUAAAAGU